AGCGAACGCUGGCGGCAGGCCUAACACAUGCAAGUCGAACGAAGUCUUCGGACUUAGUGGCGGACGGGUGAGUAACACGUGGGAACGUGCCUUUAGGUUCGGAAUAACUCAGGGAAACUUGUGCUAAUACCGAAUGUGCCCCUCGGGGGAAAGAUUUAUCGCCUUUAGAGCGGCCCGCGUCUGAUUAGCUAGUUGGUGAGGUAAAGGCUCACCAAGGCGACGAUCAGUAGCUGGUCUGAGAGGAUGAUCAGCCACAUUGGGACUGAGACACGGCCCAAACUCCUACGGGAGGCAGCAGUGGGGAAUCUUGCGCAAUGGGCGAAAGCCUGACGCAGCCAUGCCGCGUGAAUGAUGAAGGUCUUAGGAUUGUAAAAUUCUUUCACCGGGGACGAUAAUGACGGUACCCGGAGAAGAAGCACCGGCUAACUACGUGCCAGCCGCCGCCGUAACAC
rnacentral:rRNA from 1 species